rnacentral:rRNA from 1 species
CCUACGGGAGGCAGCAGUCGAGAAUCAUUCACAAUGGGGGAAACCCUGAUGGUGCGACGCCGCGUGGGGGAAUGAAGGUCUACGGAUUGUAAACCCCUGUCAUGUGGGAGCAAAUUAAAAAGAUAGUACCACAAGAGGAAGAGACGGCUAACUCUGUGCCAGCAGCCGCGGUAAUAAAGAGGUCUCAAGCGGUGUUCGGAAUCACUGGGCGUAAAGCGUGCGGAGGCGGUUUCGUAAGUCGUGUGUGAAAGGCGCGGGCUCAACCAGCGGACGGCACAUGAUACUGCGAGAAUAGAGUAAUGGAGGGGGAACCGGAAUUCUCGGUGUAGGAGUGAAAUGCGUAGAUAUCGAGAGGAACACUCGUGGCGAAGGCGGGUUCCUGGACCUUUACUGACGCUGAGGCACGAAGGCGAGGGGAGCGAAAGGGAUUUGAUACCCCUGUAGUC